UGUGUAUUAUUAAAUUUUAAAAGAAAAAGAAAAAAAAAAAAAAGGCAAGCUUUUAUGCAUGAAAAUGAGCCAUGCACAUUUCCCUCUCCACGUGAUUAUUUUUUUUUCAUACCUUUAGCAUGAUAAGCCCAUUAAUGUGUGGUUUGGCCAUAAGAUGAAAAGCCCAUGGCGUUAGUUACAUAUGAAAGGGCCAUAUAACUUGUUCCUAUGAUUAAUUAUGCAGCUAAACUUCUUCUUCCCCUCUAUCAUAACAUUGCUGCCAUCACGUUUCCUUACUAACCUAAAUUUUCCUCAACAUUUAAACAACACUCUGCCGCCACCCUUCUCCUCUCAAUCCCAGAAAUCAUAACGUUCGUUGUUCUCGUUUAAUUCACGUCAAUCCGGUAUAAUUUUGAGUUUUGAUUGAUUCGUUCAUAUAUUCCGGUUGUUCUCUAUCAUCGCUACGUUUCGGAGUCAAUAACGACCUGUCGACUGCUCGUACUUCAGAGGCGAAUCAAAGUUAGAUUGCUUGUCAAGUUUCACGUGGAAUAGCAAGCAGUUUAUGAUUUGAGCUUUGGUCGAUCUCCGUUUCUUCAUUUUCGGAGGUUCUUUAUUUAUUUCAGAAAUAAAGUGUCGAACUAUUUUAAACUCUUAGACCGCAGUAGUAGUUUCAUAUUAUUCAUGUCUUAGUCUUACAUUUAUAUUUUAGACUAUUGUUGUUGGAUUGGUCCAACUAUUACUUAUCGCUUGUGGCAUGAUUCAGUGUUAUGGAAUUUAUAUUAUAUUGCCAUGUUGGAGUUUA